rnacentral:tRNA from 1 species
GGCCCGUUGGUCAAGUGGUUAAGACACGGCCCUUUCACGGCGGUAACAUGAGUUCAAAUCUCGUACGGGUCA